UUUUCUUUUUGAAAUAAAUUCAGGAAUAUCAUUCCACUUUUUUUUUUAAAGAUUUUAUUUAUUUAUUCAUGAAAGACACACACAGAGAGAGAUAGAGGCAGAGACACAGGCAGAGGGAGAAGCAGGCUCCAUGCAGGGAGCCCGUCGCGGGAUUCGAGCCCGAGACCCUGGGGUCACACUCUGGGCUGCAGGCAGAUGCUCAACCACUGAGCCACCCGGGCGUCCCUCCAUUUUUAUUUUGUAUACAUCUGUGAAGAUGAAAAUUGUGUCCAUAUCUUAACGCUCUAUUUCUUGGCUAAACACUGUUUCCUCAUUCCUUUGUUCUUUAUGUAUUUUCUACUUUCAUGAGGACUUCAGAAAUAAAUCUAGAAAUCUACAUAUAAUUGAUCUAUGUCUCCUUUUCUCUCUCUUUAGGGUACCAUGUAUAGCUCUCGAUGUGCAUCCUAAGAUCACUGGUUCUUUUGGAAGAAAACAUGAUUAACAAGAGAACACGGAUAAUUCUCACAAAUCACAUUAAGAAAAGGAAAGUGGAUACAAAAGAAGCCACAUUAUCCAAUCCCAUCAUGAAGAACGGAUGCCGUGGGAAAACCUAAAGGUGGUUUCCUGUGGGCGCUGAGGAGGGAGUAUGAACAGCAUGAGGAAACCCUCUGGGGUCUUGGGAGUAGUUUAUGCCUGGAUAAUUUAACUGAAUGCUUUUAUCACUUUAUUGUUCGGAACCAUAAAAUUAAACUUACCGGAUGACAAAACACAGGGCAAACUUACUUGUUAUGUGAAGGGAAUUAGCUGACCUGUCUCAGAGUUCAUUAAAGUGAAAUAUAGCAGAAAGCAUCUCUAAGCUCUGUAUGAGUGAACUUCCUAAAAAAACAUACUUGUGGAGCAGAAGCAAAUAUAUUUGAAGAGUUAUACAAGAAGUUUAU
rnacentral:lncRNA from 1 species